rnacentral:rRNA from 1 species
UCUAUAACCGAUAACCCCCGUUCAACCUCACCACCUCUUGUUUUACCCGCCUAUAUACCACCGUCGUCAGCUUACCCUGUGAAGGCUCUAUAGUAAGCAAAAUGGACAAAACCCAA